rnacentral:rRNA from 1 species
GAUGAACGCUGGCGGCGUGCCUAAUACAUGCAAGUCGAGCGAACAGACGAGGAGCUUGCUCCUCUGACGUUAGCGGCGGACGGGUGAGUAACACGUGGAUAACCUACCUAUAAGACUGGGAUAACUUCGGGAAACCGGAGCUAAUACCGGAUAAUAUAUUGAACCGCAUGGUUCAAUAGUGAAAGACGGUUUUGCUGUCACUUAUAGAUGGAUCCGCGCCGCAUUAGCUAGUUGGUAAGGUAACGGCUUACCAAGGCAACGAUGCGUAGCCGACCUGAGAGGGUGAUCGGCCACACUGGAACUGAGACACGGUCCAGACUCCUACGGGAGGCAGCAGUAGGGAAUCUUCCGCAAUGGGCGGAAGCCUGACGGAGCAACGCCGCGUGAGUGAUGAAGGUCUUCGGAUCGUAAAACUCUGUUAUUAGGGAAGAACAAAUGUGUAAGUAACGAUGCACGUCUUGACGGUACCGAAUCAGAAAGCCACGGCUAACUACGU